AGUUGGCAAGAAUGAUGAAUCUAUAUAGAUGUGAGAGGAGAAAAUCUUUUGUGAGCCUCCAAUAUAUAAUGCUUAUUGAUAUUCUGACUUGCCUUUU